UGCGCAGGCGGACCGAUAAGUCAGUGGUGAAAUCCUACAGCUCAACUGUAGAACUGCCAUUGAUACUGUCGAUCUUGAGUACGGUUGAAGUGGGCGGAAUGUAUCAUGUAGCGGUGAAAUGCAUAGAUAUGAUACAGAACUCCGAUAGCGAAGGCAGCUCACUAACCCGUAACUGACGCUCAGGCACGAAAGCGGUGGGGAGCAAACA
rnacentral:rRNA from 1 species